rnacentral:rRNA from 1 species
CCUACGGGGUGCUGCAGUGGGGAAUAUUGGACAAUGGGCGAAAGCCUGAUCCAGCCAUGCCGCGUGUGUGAAGAAGGCCUUCGGGUUGUAAAGCACUUUCAGUGGGGAAGAAAGCCUUGGGGCUAAUACCCUCGAGGAAGGACAUCACCCACAGAAGAAGCACCGGCUAACUCCGUGCCAGCAGCCGCGGUAAUACGGAGGGUGCGAGCGUUAAUCGGAAUUACUGGGCGUAAAGCGCGCGUAGGCGGUCUGAUAAGCCGGUUGUGAAAGCCCCGGGCUCAACCUGGGAACGGCAUCCGGAACUGUCAGGCUAGAGUGCAGGAGAGGAAGGUAGAAUUCCCGGUGUAGCGGUGAAAUGCGUAGAGAUCGGGAGGAAUACCAGUGGCGAAGGCGGCCUUCUGGACUGACACUGACGCUGAGGUGCGAAAGCGUGGGUAGCAAACAGGAUUAGAUACCCUAUAGUC